UGUCGCCCUGAAGAAGAGGCGAUUAGUCGCCAGGCGACUAAAUCUCCCCGAAUCUGCCCAUGUGCUUAAACCCUAAGGCCUGUUCUGGACUCCACUUUCUGUUCGGUUGCCUUGUGAAACCCGAACAUUAUUCUGGCCAAAUAAAAAAAAAAAAACAAUUAAAUACCAAGAUACUCACCUUGACAUGGCGUAGUUAUUAUAAAGUGCAGUUCAUUUCUAGUGAUUAAAGAAACAGAAAUAAGCAAAUCAAUCAAAAAUAAGAAAUAGUUUUUCUAAAUGAGCAAUGCUGUAUUUCAGAGCUUUCUGGAUAACUUAAGUUCUGUAUAAUACAUCCCAUACCUUUAGUUAAAGGAUUGGUCUUACUCGUCGAGCAGAAUAGAUAGAUGUAGGGUUUCCAGCCGUGUGGGUUUAAAACUAAAACAUUGCGAAAACUGGACAGAAAUCCAUCCAUUUGCAUAUAAGUGAUGCAAUAACCUUGACCCGGCAUCAUAACUGCACGACAUCAUGUCAUCAUGCCAACCCGAAGAUCACAGCUCCACCCCAAUAAUAUCUGCCCCGCCCCCAAUAUUCGGGUUUAGCCACUGGCAAAGGUGUCCAAAACUUGCCCGUCCCUUAUUCUUUAGUUGAUCAUACAUGGGGCAAUAAAAUCUGCAGCCAUGACUGGGACAGAUUUAUCUAAAUAUGAGAUCAGAGUUUACCACAAAAAACUCACCCCCUGCUUUCUAUUCAUUCCUAUGUGAUUUUUCAAAGUGUAUUUAUCAAAUGGUGAACUUUCUCCCAUUGAUGAAUACAUUUCUAAAAAUCCCACAGGAAUGAAUAAAAAGUGAGUGAGUUUUUCUGUGGUAAACUCUAAUCAAACAUUUUGAUAAAUCUGCAGUUGUCAACUUUUGUAUCUCAUGGGCACAUCUCAGCAAGCAAGACAGAGCUGGGCUGUGUAGAAGGAAUUAGGGCUCACUACUGUAAAGAUGAAAAGACAGCUAAAGGUCAUCUGCAGAAAAUUAUCCAAAAUAAAUGAUUAAAGAUAAGUUGCAAUGAUUCAGAAGGUAAUCAAAAUUCUGCAAAUAGUCAAGUACAAUGGAAUAAAAGGUUAGAAGAAUACUGUGCUUCCACUGCAAAAUGAAUGAUGACCGACCCCUUAUUAUUAUUAUUUACUAGGCAAUUUAAUUGGACUUUGGAAGGGUGUUUUUUUCCUCCCUACCCUAACUCUAUUACAGGUGGCAGAACUCCUGUCUACAGCAGAACACAGACUCACAGUAGUAGCCCAGAGCUUUGUAGAGCCCUGGCAAGUUUUAUUCCAGCAGUCCUCGGCAGCACAACUCUGUGGGAAAUUGAAGCAACCCCAGAGGACCACAUUGGAGGCCAGAAAAAAAUUCAGCCCUCGGGACCACAGAAGUUGGACAGCACUGGGCUAGAGGAUCCUGUGCUGCAACUCCCAGCCAGAAAGAGCCAGGUGAGCAGAUGAUCAGCCAGGAGAAAAGGCCACGCUGCUAGAUAUCUUGGAGGUGACCAGUGCCAUUGUGAAGAGUGUCAGUGCUGCAGAUCUGCCUGCAAACUCCAGUUUGCCAACCCCUGAGAGCACUCUGGUGAGCAACCAACCAAAUGGAGGCUAUUGGCAGAAGUAAAAGUGUGUGGCCACUGUGUGAGGCCAGCUCUUAUUUGUUUACCUGCUAUGUGAGAAAAGCUAUCCCAUCCAAGGAUAAGUCGUUUUUCAUUAGGUAGAGAUACCAUGAUUAAAAAACUCUUGGAAAGCGACAUAUUGCAUGGAAAUGAACUUUGCAUUUAUUAAUUCCAAUUGGCUUUAACUGUUGGACUGCUAUAACUCAAGGUCAGACUGUUUUAUCUGCUGGUCAGAUAGAACCCCACUUGCCCCUGUUGCAGAAGUGUUUUAUUGUAUUAGAUGCAUUUUUCUCUUUCUAGAUUAGGCUUUUUAUUGCUGCAAAUUCCUGAUCUUUAAUUUCUUAGUGAGUCCCCCUGAGUUGUAUUCCUCAAUGGCCACUAGGUGGGGGCACUUCGCUAUAAAAUCCAAGUGACAGUCUCUCCCAAAUUCCAGGUUUGCCAGCUUGCCGCAGGUAAGCGCAAAGUGUAAAUUAGUGAGUGAGUGUAAGUAUUAGUAAUCCUACCCUAUUGGAUUGUACUGAUAGAUCUUCAGAUACAGAAGAAAUACUCUGAAUAACUUUGCAUAAUAUAUUGGUCAUAUAAGAAAUAUAUAACUAUUAUAUUAUUAUAUAACUGCCUAAAUAAGUAAAUUGGGUAAAUAUUUUAAAAUUAGCAAGCUCAUAACAAAACAUUUAAACUCUAUUUCCAUUUAGUCACUCCAUGUUUAACAGUUCUUAUUCAUUUCUAUUCAUUUCUCAAUUCAUACACAGUAAAAAGAAUCAAUAAAAGAAAGUCUCUUUUUGUUUGCCUCGCCUCUUUCAUCUGUCAAUUUCUUUGCAUGAAUUCUGCAUAAAACAGCAGUAUUUCAUACAAAAAUUAUACUGUAGUAUUGCUUCCAACCUUUUUUUCUUAACCAACAGCAACAUACAAAUGAAGCAACAUGGUUCUCAAGAGAAGAUUCACAAUCAGUAGUUCUUACGCUACCCUGCUGGAGAUUGAAACUGCCGUGCAGUAACUGCAAGAAAUCAUGCAGUAUUCUCUGAACAUCAGAACUCUUUGCUCUCCUAGAAUGCAGUGCCAUGAGCUACACCUUCGUCUUAAUACAGUGCUGCCUGUUAAGUAGAACUGGAUUCUGAAUUCUGAGUUGAGCAAAUUCUGAAGUCCUGGCACAUUCUUAUCUCAUCACAUGACUUUUCACAUUGUGACGAUCACUAACAGCAGCUUUGUAUAUAUUGACAGUUGCUCUUCUUUCAAAGCAGAUGGACAAUCCAAUACCAUGGCAUGUAAAUGCAAAGCACACUAUGACAGGGUAACUGGAAACUAUAAUUGUGGGAAACAAGCUUUCAAUCCUGUAGGUUUAUCAUUUGAUGCUUGCCAGCAAUAGUUGGCAGCAUUGCUAAACUGUCCGGGCUGUUUUCUACUGUUAAGAAGAAGGCCAUUGCCUAAUUUCUUUGCACCAAAUGCAUUGUAAGUGCAAUAAGUGGGAGGCCAGUGCCAGUAAUAUAAGUGAUAAUUCAUUUAUAGGACUACAGUUCAGCCAUGCUUUUUCAUGCUGAAAUAGUUAGCAAAUAAUAUAAACCAAAUCUAGCCAAAUAAGUCAUACAUCCAUAUAAAUAAUAAUAAAAUGAGUAGUGUAAGCUUUUAAAGGGAAAUGUAUCCCUUUUUUACUGGAGCUAAUUUUUUUGGAGUUAUUUUAAAAAGUGGAAAAAAACAGUAUCUGAACUUCCAAAAAUACUUGGCUCCACAGACUGAAAGCAAACCAUUAUAGUCUGUCUGUGUGAUUGCUGGAACCGGUUUCCUACAUCCUUGUUUCUAUGUGAAUUGAUGGGAUUCUGGGACCUGAAGUCCCUCUGUUUUCUAUUGUGAGUGGUAAGCAGAUUCUUUGGAAAACAUUUGGACUUCAAAUUGGAACAUGGAUGGGAUUCAUUACAGAACUGGUCCCAGCAAUCACCCAAUUGGAAUGUCUGAUCUGUCUGUUGAACCUGGUAUGUCUGUUAAAUAAAUAAUUUAUUUUAAUGUCGUUCAUUUGUUUGAGCCCAUGGUAAAAAUGGGGUAUAUUACCUUUACAAGGACAGAUUACAAAACAAUAGGCUUUGUGCAAGAUGUUUCCACUUCGCAGUUUUGUAUAAAUACAUUUUGGGAUUGACCAGUUAAAUGAGGUUCAAUGCUAAUAAAUGCAUUUGUGCAAACAUGAAUGAUGGAUAUGCCCUAAAUGGGAUUGUGUCCUCUGAACUAAGGAUUUGGGAACUAUUGUGGAUAAAGGGCUUUGAAACACUAGACAGUUACUGCUAAUGCUAUUGAAGUACUUAUAUUUUUACAAAGAAGCAAUGAAGCAUCAUUUUGCUGGUAAAACUUCACCUUGUGUAAUUGUGCAAUUUUGGGCAGCAUUCCAAAUAAAGGCUAUUGAUAUCUG